rnacentral:rRNA from 1 species
CCCUAUGGGGUGCCAGGAUUGUCAUCAUACGGGGUAUCGGGGUCGAAUCGGGAUUUUCGAGAUGAUCAAGCUGACGGAUGCGAUGCGCGAGGUGGUGAUGAAUCGUCCAUCGAGCAGUCAGGUGAGGCGAGCGGCGGGCGAGGAGUUUGUCGACAUGAGGCGAGAGGGGUAUGCGAAGGUGCUGGCGGGGAUAACGACGCUGGAAGAGGUCUGGCGAGUGACGCAGGAUGCGUUUCAGGAGAAUGGGAAGAUCGAGAAAAGUUGAGAGAAGAGAAAUUCCGAAGUCAAAAUGCAAAUUUCAAAGUGCAAAAUGCAAAAGUGAAGUGAAGAGGCGAUGGGCAGGUUUGUUUACAAAGCGGUGGAUGUUCGCGGGCAGGAAUUGGCGGGAGGGC